UACGGAGGUGGCAAGCGUUGUUCGGAAUUACUGGGCGUAAAGGGCGCGUCGGCGGCAAGGCAAGUCAGGUGUGAAAGCCCCGAGCUUAACUCGGGAAUUGCAUCUGAAACUGCUGUGCUUGAGUUCUGGAGGGGGUAGUGGAAUUCCCAGUGUAGCGGUGAAAUGCGUAGAUAUUGGGAGGAACACCUGCGGCGAAGGCGGCUACCUGGACAGAAACUGACGCUGAGGCGCGAAAGCUAGGGGAGCGAACGGG
rnacentral:rRNA from 1 species